rnacentral:tRNA from 1 species
ACCUGGCUGGCUCAGUGGGUAGAGCGGGUGAUUCUUGAUCUCCAGGUUGUGAGUUCAAGCCCCACGUUGGGUG